CUCGCUUGCGAAAGAAAUCCUUUUAAAAUAAAAAUAAUAAGCUCAUUAAAACUCGAGAAAACAUCUAAUUAAAAGAAUGUAUGCUUCCUAUGUGAGUGCUCAUUUUAUCCUUGGUCUCUUCUUAGGGAAAUUUCUGGAUUCUCGUGUAAAAACUGGGACCAGUAUCAACUCAGAAAAAAAAAAAUUAACUCCAUUACUAAAACAAGAAUUUCCAACCCAUUACUUAAAAAAAACGCCACUCUUCCAAACUUAAAAUAGAAAAGGCCGGGCCCAAACUCAACUCCUCUAAUUAUUUGCCAUAAGGCCCAAAACUUAAAGCAAAACUCUAGUCCAUUUAAAAUUUUCUUUGACUUCAAAAUUUAAAAGAAGAAAUAAAAAGGUCUUCUCUUCCAUUUAUUCCAUCCGUACUCUCUCUAUCUCUCAAUCUUAAAAUCCAAAAUAAAAUCCCAAAACAGAAACUCCAAUCUUUUUCCCCCCUCUCUCACGCACCGGCGAUUCUCCAUGGCGCCACCGUCGUUGUCCCCUUCGCAGGAAACACUGCAGUGUCAGCGCCGACUCCACCGCCGCAACCUGUUGUCGUCGCCGUGGAAGCUCCAGGCGCCGCCGUCGCGACUCACCGCGAGUCGCCGUCGCUCCUCCCUUUGCGACUGAGCACGAUGAUUCAAAAUUAUCCUAAAUGAAUGCAAGAAAUUCGAUGCUAAGGAUUGAUCGGAUGAUUACCUUCUUAGGCGGCAGAAAAUUCUCUUCUCCUACUCGUUCUUUCUUUAUAUUUUUUUUCAAGGUUUCUGAAUGGUGGGAGUCUUGUGGAGGUGUAUAUAUUCACAUAUAAAUUGUAGAUUUGAAACUGAUAACUGAUAUGGAGUAGUUGAGAUAUAUAAUAAAUUCUGUGGAGA